GCCUUCGUGGUGUAGUGGUCAGCACGCUCGGCGCAUAUCGAAAGAUCCGUGGUUCGAGUCCCGGCGUGGGCA
rnacentral:tRNA from 1 species